rnacentral:rRNA from 1 species
UACGUAGGGCGCAAGCGUUAUCCGGAAUUAUUGGGCGUAAAGAGCUCGUAGGCGGUCUGUCGCGUCGGCUGUGAAAUCCCGAGGCUCAACCUCGGGUCUGCAGUCGAUACGGGCAAACUAGAGUAUUGCAGGGGAGACUGGAAUUCCUGGUGUAGCGGUGAAAUGCGCAGAUAUCAGGAGGAACACCGGUGGCGAAAGCGGCUCUCUGGAACGGUACUGACGCUGAGACGCGAAAGCGUGGGGAGCGAACAGG